CGAGUCCCAGAGGCUUCUGCAUGCCCAUGACUAUAAAACCAAAGGUCCUAGAUCUUUUUACCAAGUGUUCAUCUCCACUCUGGCUGUUUGGAGCUAGUCCUAGUCCAAUUUUCCUAAAUGCAGUCACCCAUACAUACUCGUUCUUAAGAAUGCAUGCAUUCAAAUAUCGCUGCGACUUGGAGCGAACACUCUGAUGAGAAUAAAGAAAAGGCCAUCUGCAGGGUGAUUUUCCGCCCUAAAAGUGAGGCUAGGGCGGCCACUUCCACGAACAACCCAUCUACCCAAAGCAGUCAGAGAGCCCGCGGUGGUGCCGUUUUUCCGAGCCGUUCCCCCAAGCCUCAGUUGCUUCUGCAUUUUUCAGAAGUGACUCAUCGCCUCAAGUCAGGUUCCGCAGCGGGGAAGCCAGGUCUGUUUCUUUCCAGCACUUUCUGAUCGAGGUGGCUCAGUUCAGUGACUGUGGUUCCCACUGUACGGUACGGCCGAUAGAGAAGAGCAGCCACAGAGCUCUUCAGGGAUUCAGAGGCUCUCCUUACAAAUCUGUUUCUCAAGGCAUGGGUGAAAAACCUGUAGUUACAGGAGAGAAGAUUCUGACUGAAGACACACCUAGAAACUCCUAAGUCGCUUCUUUGGAGUGGGAGCCAGGAAAUCCCAUCUGGAGCUCAUCUGUUUCCUUCAUCACUCUAUCCAGCGACACCAGGAGCAACCAACAAACAUCAUUAUAGUCCUUGGUUUUCCACAAAUGUUUGAGAAUAUAAUUAGAGUCAUUAAAUUAUUUCCUCUUAUAAGUAGUAAA